GUUACUGAACGAAUUAUCUCACUAAAUGAAUCAUAAAAAGCGUUAAAAAAAAGACGUUUAUUGUUUGUACAUAGAAGUUUUUUGCAUAUAUGUCCGGAACUGACUUGCUACGACAGACUCCCUGUGAUGUGUGAUCAUAAGGCUUCAGUAGACAUCAACACAAAAGAAGGCUACUAUAUAGUACCGACUUAUUUUAAUAGAUAUAAUAAUUGAAAAUGAAAAUGUGUCAAAACAGUUUCAAAAAUGUUCAAAUAGGCAUAUAUAAACGUAUUAAUUAAUUAUCAAUAUAUAGGCUAUUAAUUUGAACAUGUAGAGUAGACUACAAGAAACUUCUGUUGUAAUAAGCAGCUUUAAGACAUAAAAAAAAACCUUAACUGUAAAAUAAUAAUCAUCUGCUGAUCAUACAAUUAUUUCGUUUUCAGAAAUUAGGUCUAAUGUAUAGUGAUCGUUUUUUCUUUAGAGACGUGUUGUAUGAACUAUUACCAGUAAGUUCAUAUGUGCUCAGAUUAAAAUUAGCCUAUAUUACUAUUGUAUUAUUUUAUUUAAGCUGUAACUGUGAAUACAUUUGGACACUCCAUGUUAGUCACUGAUUAGACUUACAUGAUUUAAAAUGGAUUUUUAGGUGAUAUUGCUUGAAAAGUGAUUUAUAAUGAGCGCAAAAAAAAAAAAAAACUAUGUAAUGCAGUUUAUUUUAUUAUCACGUGCUGACAUAACCUGAGACUAAAAGCUGUGAUAUACAUUUUGUCCACUAGAGAGAGCCAAAUUAUAUGGACAAGGCCUAUUUGAAAGUGAAAGUCCUGACAUUUACCAAGUAACCCAUCCUUGGAGCUGGUGCUCUGCAUUUAACCCAUCCAAGUGCACACACACAGCAGUGAGAAGUGAACACACACCCGGAGCAGUGGGCAGCUACAGAUCCAGCGCUGGGGAGCAACUGGGGUUUCAGUGCCAGGGUACUGAGUUCAGUCAUGGGUACUGAGGGUGGAAGAGAGUGCUGUUCAUUCACUCACUCCCACCUACAACUCCUGCCAGCACCGAGACUUGAACCGGAUACCUUCUUGUAAGUAGUCCAAGUCUCUAACCAUUAGGCCACAAACUUGUGCAAACUUCUGUCAAAAUCAAAUUCUCCAGUCAAAAACCCUUACAUGAUCUAUCAAUAUCAAACUUUGGCCUCAGAUGACAAAACCUACAGUACAAAUACACACACUACAAUUGUUUAGCUUCCUUAAAUAUAAUAAGUUAUCUUUACUUAGUUGUUAUACUUACUAGGUUUUAUUAAGUUACACAAUUUGCUAAUUUUAAGGCGAAUAGAACAACAUGCUGCAAUGAGUAAUUCUUUCUUAAAAUAUUCAAGUAGCUACAACAAAACCGAUGACAUUAAUUCACCAGUGAGAGGCAGCAGUGCGCUAAUGUGCAACAGGAACAAAACAACAGAAGAAGAAAUAAGGACGGUGAGCAUGCGCAGCAAGCAAAGUUUUGAAGCUGCGUCGAAUUUGCUUAAACUAAAAAGUAGAAAGACUGUUUACAUUUCACCUCUGGACAAAGAAUGAUUGAUUACUUCUACACAAUAAUAAUAAGGAAAAAAGCUUGUGUCAUCUGUCUUCUCUGAGCAGCGGUCUCGUGAUCACCGGUCUCAGUAUAAUAAAGAGGACACUUCACAUCCUAGAACCCAUAAAAUAAAAGAUUUGACAGAACUACACACCCAUCUGAGGCCUACCUGUUUUAAUUCAUGAUCACCCCGGAUACUUCUACAACUAACCUGCUUGGUGUCUGAUGCUGAUGCAGUCUGGGCACUAGUAUCUGUUGGCUUGCUGACUAUCACUGACGAUGAAGUACUUCUCCAAAUCUUGACCCAGUGUCUUCUGCCAUCAUUGUUCAGGGUAGUACUGCAAAGAAUAGUCUCCAGGGUCUGCCUCCAACAUUUGCUUCCCGAACACCAUGUGCUACGCUUGCAUCACUACAUGUGGGUUACUCUGAUACUGUGAAGAAAACCUACAAUAUGAUGCUUGACUUGGGACAGAAAAAAAAAACAUUGGCAACUUGUGUGGCCAACUCAUUGCCGUAUUUAAAAUCAUUGUACUGCUACCUCCAUUGUUUAACAUAACUAAAAGCAGAUUGUUUUUGCUUUGUUUCAAAAUUUUUGUAAUACGAGUUAAAACUACAUUGAAAAAAAUAUAUCAUCUUUAACUUUGAACUGUCACUACAUUUGAUUUAGGGUAAUUAUGUGUGUGAAGAAUAGAACAUUGUUGUCAUGAAUUUGUAAUAGAUUUUUGAAGUAUUUAAGUUACUAGAGUAAUGGUAACUUUUUUUUUUUAAAGGCAAUUGGUCAAAACUAGAUUUCUGUUCAAGUAAAUACAACUUAGAAAUUCCAAGUUGCAGGAAAUGUUACUUGAUUUAGCUAAAUUUAAAUGACUUGUUUGAAAUACGUACAUAGUAUAAUGUACUUGAUUUAGUUGUUGAAAAUAGUAAUUCUGAGUUACACGUUUACAACACUUAUAAAUAAACCUUUGUUAGUACAAAUUACUAUUCUUAUUUCACUUUACUUGUUUUUUUUCAAGGCAAUCGGUUUGCAUACUUUUUUUAAAUAAAGUUUACUCAUUUUAAUUUACAGUGCAGACAAGCUCCCUGCCCAGUGCACACUAGUGAGAUAAAUUCAAAACACUGUAAUUGUAAUAAAGUACUGUAACUAUACUGUA